rnacentral:tmRNA from 1 species
GGGGUCGACUGGUUUUGACAGCGAGUCUGAAUAAAUAGUAAGCAAAUCGAGCUCUGGAUUAAAGCUCGUAAAAAUUCUGAUACCAAACUUUAAAUGGCGAUAAUAAAUACGCUCUUGCAGCCUAAUAACUGAAUUAUAGUAAGUUAAGGCCUUGUCCCGCUAGGCGGGAAGGUGAGAUGUCUCAGAACAGCCCUUGUUGACGGCGAUUCAUUAUGAGG